rnacentral:rRNA from 1 species
GGUUGAUCCUGCCAGUAGUCAUAUGCUUGUCUCAAAGAUUAAGCCAUGCAUGUCUAAGUAUAAAGAACUUUAUACUCUAAAACUGCGUACAGCUCAUUAAAUCAGUAAUUAUUUAUUUGAUGGUAACUUACUAAAUGGAUACCCGUAGUAAUUCUAGAGCUAAUACAUGCACAAAAUCCCGACUCGUAAGGGAAGGGACGUAUUUAUUAGAUAAAAAACCAAUGCAGGUUCGCCUGGUUGAUGGUGAUUCAUAAUAACUGAUCGAAUCGCAUGACCUUGUGUCGGCGAUAGUU